rnacentral:lncRNA from 1 species
AAUAAAUAAAAAAAUCAUAAGGACUUAAUAAAAAAAAUUUUGGGACUAAUUGACAAAAUACAUCAUAAACCUACACUCUAACCCACAAAAACAGACGAUGGGGGGAAAGAAAAAAAGAUUUGAGCGCCGCAUUUCACAAGGAACGGACUUUCUCUCCCCCUAUUCUCUUUCUUCUUCAAGAUCCAUUUUCAUGGCUGGUUUUUGAGCAACCAAAAAACAACUCCAUCAGUAGUUAUCCUUAACCUAAAAAUCCCAGAAUCUAACGAAACACACACACAAAAGAUAGGUAUAGGAAUGGACAGAAGCAACUGAGAUCAAAAUUUGGCCAUUCGAAAACUUCAAUUUAGAUUUGUUCUCAAAAGUUGUUGAAAUCAAAAAUUUGUUGCUGUUGACUGUUGAAACCGUUGUUAAGUUUAGUCCGAUCUGGUUCUGGUCAUCGUUGAAGAGUCAAGUUUUUUUUUUUCGUUGAGGCUCCGACCGUCGUUCCUUGCCGUAGCAAUUUUGCGACGAAACAGAAAUUGUAAAGUUGGAGAUUCUGGUGACAGGCAACAAUUCGUUUGAGGUUCCUUUUAUCUCUUUUCUUUAAUUAAUUCAAGAAUCUUGGGUAUUCUACCUUAGUGCUUUUGGUUUGAACAAACUUGUGUUCUUGAAAUUGGCAUACUAGUAUCUUGGAUUCUAUUUGUUUUCAAGUAUUUGUUUUAGAUCUUUAAAAAAUGGGAAUUGCGACAUACUUUUCAUAUAGUUUCUUUUAAGAUCUCUUGAAUUCCUUUUUGUAAUGAAAGUAUUAUGUUCCUUGUGAAAUGAACGUGAUAAUGGGAAGAAAUGAAAAAUGCAAUUCUCCAAAAAAUAAAUGUUGGAUGUUUGUUUGGGUCGAUAAAUCUUGAGAAGAAGGAAUAUGGUUCUCACCUUGUCUUCAUUAAUCCAUAAAGUUUAAUAUUAGGAUUGUGCAUUGUAACACUUAAGUGAGCGAAAGUUUUCUUUUGGUAGAGUAGUUCAUUGUUCUCUCUUGCAAAUUUUGCUAAAUGCUAUUUAAUUGGGUUGGAAUUGUGGUAUCCUAAUCAGAUUUCUUUAUAAGGAAACAAUAUAGGAAAUUAGCUCUCAGGCUUUAUCCUAAUAAGAAUAACUCAUUUGGGGUUGAAGGAGCUUUUGAGCAUAUUUCAAA